CAGCGUUGUUGCCGAGACUUCGCUCAAGAGACGUGUCUUGGUUCAGGGAUUUCAUUCGAAUGCCGCCACGGACAUUCGAUACUCUUCUUGGGCUGGUGCAAACGACAAUCACGAGGGCCGACACAUCGUUUCGAAAAGCUAUCCCCGCGAGUGACCGCUUGGCGCUGACACUUAGGUUCCUAGCGGAAGGCAGUUCCGUGCGAGGCACGUCCUUCAACUUUUUGGUGGGCAGAUCCAC